rnacentral:rRNA from 1 species
UACGUAGGGUCCGAGCGUUGUCCGGAAUUAUUGGGCGUAAAGGGCUCGUAGGCGGUUUGUCGCGUCGGGAGUGAAAACUCGGAGGUCUACCACCUGCCGUGCUUCCGAUACGGGCAGACUAGAGGUAUGCAGGGGAGAACGGAAUUCCUGGUGUAGCGGUGGAAAUGCGCAGAUAUCAGGAGGAACACCGGUGGCGAAGGCGGUUCUCUGGGCAUUACCUGACGCUGAGGAGCGAAAGCAUGGGGAGCGAACAGG